AUUGAACGCUGGCGGCAGGCCUAACACAUGCAAGUCGAACGAGUGGCGGACGGGUGAGUAAUGUCUGGGAAACUGCCCGAUGGAGGGGGAUAACUACUGGAAACGGUAGCUAAUACCGCAUACCAUCGGAUGUGCCCAUGUGGGAUUAGCUAGUAGGUGGGGUAACGGCCCACCUAGGCGACGAUCCCUAGCUGGUCUGAGAGGACGACCAGCCACACUGGGACUGAGACACGGCCCAGACUCCUACGGGAGGCAGCAGUGGGGAAUUUUGGACAAUGGGGGCAACCCUGAUCCAGCCAUGCCGCGUGAAGGAUGAAGGUCUUCGGAUUGUAAACUGCUUUUGUCAGAGAAGCGGUACCUGAAGAAUAAGCACCGGCUAACUACGUGCCAGCAGCCGCGGUAAUAC
rnacentral:rRNA from 1 species